rnacentral:rRNA from 1 species
UUGACCUGNUANAUGAACGCUGGCGGCGUGCCUAACACAUGCCAAGUCGAGCGGUAACAGGUGUAGCAAUACAUGCUGACGAGCGGCGAACGGGUGAGUAAUGCUUUGGAAUCUUCCCAGUAGUGGGGAAUAACCAGUCGAAAGAUUGGCUAAUACCGCAUACGUCUGUAAAGGGAAAGCGGGGGCUCGUAAGACCUCGCGCUAUUGGAUGAGCCAAAGUCGGAUUAGCUAGUUGGUGGG